rnacentral:rRNA from 1 species
GACGAACGCUGGCGGCGCGCUUAACACAUGCAAGUCGAGCGAAGCGGCGGACGGGUGAGUAACACGUGAGUAACCUGCCUUAGACAUUGGGAUAGCCUCGGGAAACCGGGAUUAAUACCAAAUGGUCUAAGAUGGACUCGCGUCCCAUUAGCUAGUUGGUGGGUAACGGCCCACCAAGGCGACGAUGGGUGGCCGGCCUGAGAAGGUGAGCGGCCACAUUGGACCUGAUAAACGGUCCAAACUCUACGGGAGGCAGCAGUGGUGAAUUGUGCACAAUGGCGGGAACGCUGAUGGAGCGACGCCGCGUGAACGAAGAAGGCUUGCGAGUCGUAAAGUUCUUUUAUAUGGGAAGCGGUACCAUAAGAAAAAGCCCCGGCUAACUACGUGCCAGCAGCCGCGGUAAUUC